GUGCGAAGAGGGGGUGCGGGGGCGGCGGGGAGCCAUGCAGACCCGGGCCCAGCCCGCCCGCCGGGCCGAGGAGACGGCGGCAUGACGGGCCGGCCUGGGGGAGCCCGGGACCGCGCGGGGGGCGGCCGGAGUCCCCCGGCCCGCAGCUGAGGGCCGGCCCGGAGGCGGGACACCGAGCCCCCGUUGCGGAGGGAGGAGGCGGCGACAGGGGCCCCGGGGCGGCGGGGCUGGAAGGCCCGGGGUCCUGAGCAGCUGCGACUCAUGGGUGCAGGCCCCGGAAGCUGAUGCAGAGCGCAGUGGCGGUGCGGCUGUCGAUGGAGCCGCGGCCGGGCCCGGGGCCGGGGCGGCGGAGCGAGGAGCGAGAGGAGCGACUAUUGGCCUUGUUGGGCAUCCUGGGCACCGCCCUCAACCUGCUCGUCAUCAUCUUCGUCUACGUCUACACCACCCUCUGAAGGGCCGGACCCAGGAGCAGGGGGCGAGGCCUAGGAGCAGGGCCGGGGAGGGGAAACUGAGGUCCCCGGA